rnacentral:rRNA from 1 species
UGGGGAAUUUUCCGCAAUGGGCGAAAGCCCGACGGAGCAAUGCCGCGUGGAGGUGGAAGGCCUACGGGUCGUCAACUUCUUUUCUCGGAGAAGAAACAAUGACGGUAUCUGAGGAAUAAGCAUCGGCUAACUCUGCGCCAG